AUUGAACGCUGGCGGCAGGCCUAACACAUGCAAGUCGAACGAGUGGCGGACGGGUGAGUAAUGUCUGGGAAACUGCCUGAUGGAGGGGGAUAACUACUGGAAACGGUAGCUAAUACCGCAUACCAUGGGAUGUGCCUAGAUGGGAUUAGCUAGUAGGUGGGGUAAAGGCUCACCUAGGCGACGAUCCCUAGCUGGUCUGAGAGGAUGACCAUGCACACUGGAACGGAGACACGGUCCCAACUCCUACGAGAGGCAGCCGUGGGGUAUAUUGGACAAUGGGGGCAAGCCUGAUGCAGCCAUGGCGCGUGUAUGAAGAAGGCCUUCGGGUUGUAAAGUACUUUCAGCGGGGAGGCGUUACCCUCAGAAGAAGCCCCGGCUAACUCCGUGCCAGCAGCCGCGGUAAUUC
rnacentral:rRNA from 1 species